GUGCACACAGCAGUGACAUGAGACCAGAGGUGGACAGUAGUGAAAGUCGCGGUACAAAGGUGCUUGUGGCUACCCGAUCCGUCCCGGAAACACGAUUUGUUCCGCGCAUGCGCGAAACUGACGUCACUUCCUGUUAUCGCCGACGUUUUACGACAGUCUUCUCGACCUGGGACCAGCUCGGAAUCUGGCAGGGGUGCAUUUCUCGGCAUUACACCUGUUCCGGGCGUCUUCGAAUUUUAUCAUCAAAGGCGACAGACUCUUCUACACCGGCCCAAUUAAACAGUACAUGCGGCUAGUUGUCCUGUCCGAGGAAGAGAAGAGGUCUGUUCUUGCGGAGUGCCAUGAUAACCCUGGAACUGGCAAUCACUGUGGCAUCAGAGGCACUCAAAACAGGGUUGUUGCUGGUUACUACUGGUCUACAUUAAUCCAUGAUGUGAAAGAAUGGGUAAUACACUACAGAGGCAUGGACAGAGGUUUGCAUACUGGACCGAAGGAGCAUCCCAACUCCUUCAGGGGAUCGUUGAGCCUGUGUUUAGGUUGUCGAAAUUCACCACCACCAAACUGUCACCCAGUAGAAGAGUUGUGGAUGACAAGGACAUUGAUAAGGUGCAGCAGCCAACCAUUGUCCGAGACCUAAAUACAGCGUGGUACUGGGUACAGAAUCACAGACACUUAUUCCGUGGGGGAGGUGACAGACCCUGCCUUUUUGCAGAUGCACAGGGGUGAUCAACAAAAUGCCAUCAAGAUCCUCUUGGGGGGUCAAUUCUCUGAGGCGAAGGAUGCCUUUUUGUUUAUAUUUCAUUACCAAGAAGACAUGGAAACAUUUUUGUCGUACUGUGUUGAUGACCAAGGCCUAAAGGUCAAUGCUAUGUUCUACAAAGAGAAAUGUAGUGUGUGAGUGUGUGUGUGCACGUGUGUGAGUGUGUGUGUGCACGUGUGUGAGUGUGCGUGCGAGAGAGAGAGUGUGCGUGUGUGUGUGUGUGUGAGUGUGUGAGUGAGAGUGUGCACGUGAGUGAGUGAGCGAGCGAGCGUGUGUGAGUGAGUGAGGAAUG